AUGCAAGGCGCCGUCUUAGCCUUGCCUUCCAAGGAUCGCUCCCACACCUGUCAUGUUCGUGAUCGGCCUCCUCAACUGUGUAUCGAUCGAAAGGCAGGGCGGCAGAGCCCCCAACCGGGAGUAGUUACGUCCAGUAUGUCCCCCCUCGAUUCCCGACAUGCUAUGAUACCAGGGUGGGUAGGAGCGGGUCGAGUCCGUAUCACCGCGGAACAACUGCAGCGUCCGGAUCUGAUCUAUCUACUCGGCAAUUCAUCCGGUGACUUCACGGUCGCCAAAGAAGCCCCAAGAAGCAUCAAACAUUUCCGAUGA
rnacentral:rRNA from 1 species